rnacentral:lncRNA from 10 species
CCACUGUGUGAAAUUGAUGGAAUUCAUGGACACCGGCACUCCCACAUUGAGCAGGACACUGGAUGAGAUAGCACUGCCCUCUUUUCUGAGUCCUGACAAGACCUCUCUCUUGCCUCUCCUCCUGUCUGCCAGCCUGUGCUCUGCUGCCCAUUUCCUAGUUCGUGCUCAGUAACUGGUGACUCCUAUAAAGCUCUAAACCUGGGUUGUGCUGAAAGGUAAUUAAGCACCUCACACUGCACUAGGUAUAUGCUUAGGCUGUGUUAUCUCUGGCUGUCUUAGAA